rnacentral:tRNA from 1 species
UCCCUGGAGGACUAGUGGUUAGGCCGCGUUGCUCUCACCACCGCGGCUCAGGUUUGAUUCCUGCCCAGGGAA